UGGUGUUGUUUAUCGUGGUGGCUGGGGCUCUGACCAGCGAGGCUCUGACGUGCGGCCAAGUAGCGUCUGCGCUUGGGCCAUGUCUAACUUACUUGCAAGGCCAAGCUGGUAAUUCUCCGCCGGCAGCAUGCUGCGCCGGUGUCAGGAGCCUUAACAGCGCAGCCCAAACGACGCCGGAUCGAAGAGCCGCUUGCCAGUGUCUGCAGAAUGCGGCCAGGUCUACCAACUUUGAUCAGAACAUUGCUGCUAGUCUUCCAGGCAAGUGCGGCGUCAGCAUUCCCUACAAGAUCAGCACCAGCACCAACUGCAACACGUACCUACUCAAAUCUUUAAUGAAGAUAUAUAUAUAUAUAUAUAUAUAUAUAUGUACAUAAAUAUAUAUGAACGGUCCAUUGUGUAUCUAAUUUUCUUGUUUUGCUUGUUUUUGUGGUGCAGAAUCAAGUGAAGAAAUCGAGUAGACAUGAGAAGAGAUUAGAAGAGCAUGCAUGCAUCGUCAUAUAAUAAUAAUAAUAAUAAUAAUAGUGAAAAAAUAAAGGUAGAUGCGACGUCGUUUAUGGAAGUUCAGAGCUGACGAGUCACUCUGGAUUGCUCAUAUAGUUUUCUACUACUUGUAUCACGUAUGACUGGAUGUAUGGAUAUCGUUGAAAUGAGUUUUAGCCUUGUACUCUACUUCCUUCCUCUUCCUCCUCUUUCAUUAACUACUUUAUUUAUUAAUUAAACAUAUAUAAAUACAUAUCCAACCCACAUUUAAACUACCAUUAAUCUCGGAUUGUACCUAGCUUGGGACAGUACUUGGGGUGAAAAUAACUGGAUUAUUAAUUUUUUUUAAUUUAUAAAAAAUAAAUAUAACAAAUAUAUUAAUUGAAAACAUUAUUAUAACAAAUAUAAUUAUAAAAAAUUAUUAAUUAAAAACUUUUAUUUUUCUUUAUUAAAAAAAAACUAUGCUUUUUUUUUUUUAUUUUUGGUCAAAACUCGUACUUCUUUAAAAAUUAAAAAAAAAAAACCAUAUUAAUUAUAAAAAAUUUUAUUACAUCUCGAUAGAGUUUUUAAAUGAUAUAUUUUGAUCAUUUUGGUCAUUACUUAAAAAAAAAAAAAAAUGUUAACAAUUUAUAUACAAAAUACUAUCAUUAACACUUAAAUAGUUAGAUAUCUGACUUGUAAUCACGACAAUUCAAUUACAAAAUAUAAAACUCUACGAACCGAACUAUAUCUACCUAAGUCGAGUGAAGUAUACAUCAAAUACUUUUUCUAUUUUCUUUCCAAUUGCAGCUAGGCUAUUAUGGACUUGAACUAGAUACAUCACUCAGUGAAAUAAAUAUCACACUUACGGUUUAAUUAAUUAGAAGAUAAUUAAAAAGUAAAAAAAUUUUACUUUUUUAUUCAACCAAACAUGUAUUAUUUAUUUGGAUUGGCUCGAGUCAGCGAACUUAAAUCCCGUUGUGAACAAAAGCGGUUUGAAUGGGCCGAUUCGGCUCAAACCGAGCCCCCUAGUCCCACAUAAUAAAAUUAUUUAUUUAUUAAAUUGUUGGCAAAUUAAUUGAACUGCAGAAGUCGAAGGCUAUAAAUUUCACGUUACGGCCAUGGAUGUAUGUACAGUCAAAACCCGCUUGUCCACGUGUCAAUUUUUUAUGGGCUGGGCUGCUGGGUGUACGGCGCAGAUUUGACAAAUUAAAAGCGCCUUACCAAAAAAGUCUUUCAUCAUUUGGAGCUUUCCGGUGUGUGUGAAUUUUUUUAAAGAGUUACGGAAAAUAAGGUUUGUAAACUAAUUAUUUGGAAACUUUUUCAGAAAAAAAAAUAAAUAAGAGUUUUUAAAUCUCUUCAAAUUCCUAUAAGUUCUUAUUGGGAUGAUUUAAAACAUUUAAUCAACAUUCUUAAGAGUUAAAUUUAAUAAAUAUACGCACUUAUAAUAGCAUUACUAUAUUAUUAAUAGCGAAAUUAAAAUUUAAUUUAUUAGUAUGUUAAUAGAAUUUUAACGACUAAUUAUGAAUAAGUUUCACUAAAUCUAUUACCUUUAUGAUCCAAAUAAACAUUUUGACAAUUAUGUUUAUUUAGUUGAAUAAUCGUAAUAAAUUAAAAACUCAAUAUAAUAUUUUUAUCAUUAAAACAAAAUUGUAUUAUUGAUAGUUAAGAUUAUAAAAUUAAACUUUUUUACACCCUAAAAACUUAUUAACAUAAACAUAUUCUUAAAUUAUAGUGUAAAUUAAUUAAUGUUAUAUGUAUAAUUAAAUUUACUAUUUGUAAAAAUAUUACAGUAUGAGAUUUAUAUAAGGUAUUGGAUAUAUAUAUAUAUAUUUGAAAUAAUAGUUAGGAAACUUAAAAAAUAGAACGAAUGUUUGAUAUCAAAAUCAUGGUCAUUGAAGGACCUCCAAAUUAUUAAAAAUUUAAAUUUGAAAAAAUUCAAAUUAAAUAUAUGUGUAUUAAAUUUUUUUAAACAUUCAAGAUAUUUAUAUGUUUAAAUUAACAAUAUCAUAUUAUAUAACCUAUUGAUUAAAUCACAUAUAUUGAAAUUAAUGAAAUAAACCAACAUCUUUAAAUAUCAAAUUUAAUUUCUUUGGGGAUUUGAUUAAUAUAUUACAUUAAAUAAUUAAAUCUAUAGUAUAUAAUUUUUAUAAUGUAAUGUGAUAUGCAAAUAAAUAUAUAAAGUAGUAAUAGUAAUAAUAUAAGAGAUUGAAAAAUUAUGUACACGAUUUGAUAGAUUUCUAAAAUUUAAGUGUAAUUGGCUACAAUUUACUUGUCAAGUACACAACUACAAAAAUAAAAUUAUUAAUUAAAUCCUCAUGUCCUGUAAAUUCAAAAAAUGUAUAAAUGUGCGGCAACUUAUUGAAUUAAAAUUGGCCCAACCACCAACUAGCCCAUCACCCGACUUUCAUACUUCUACACACUCUCCCCUCCAGCUCUCUCACUAUAUAACACCCAGCCGAGCCCUCAUCUUUCCUCACAAGGCAUAGAUCAGAAAGAAGAAAAGAAAAAAAGAGUGAGGAAUUCAGAGAUAAGCAUGGCGAUCGUGAAGUUGGCUUUUGGUUUGGUGUUGUUUAUGGUAGUGGCUGGGGCUCUUACCAGCGAGGCUCUGACGUGCGGCCAAGUAGCGUCUGCGCUUGGGCCAUGUCUCACUUACUUGCAAGGCCAAGCUGGUAAUUCUCCGCCGGCAGCAUGCUGCGCCGGUGUCAGGAACCUUAACAGCGCAGCCCAAACGACGCCGGAUCGAAGAGCCGCUUGCCAGUGUCUGCAGAAUGCGGCCAGGUCUACCAACUUUGAUCAGAACAUUGCUGCUAGUCUUCCCGGUCAAUGCGGCGUCAGCAUUCCCUACAAGAUCAGCACCAGC
rnacentral:lncRNA from 1 species